rnacentral:rRNA from 1 species
GGGCGUUAAGUUGCAGGGUAUAGACCCGAAACCCGGUGAUCUAGCCAUGGGCAGGUUGAAGGUUGGGUAACACUAACUGGAGGACCGAACCGACUAAUGUUGAAAAAUUAGCGGAUGACCUGUGGCUGGGGGUGAAAGGCCAAUCAAACCGGGAGAUAGCUGGUUCUCCCCGAAAGCUAUUUAGGUAGCGCCUCGUGAAUUCAUCUCCGGGGGUAGAGCACUGUUUCGGCUAGGGGGCCAUCCCGGCUUACCAACCCGAUGCAAACUGCGAAUACCGGAGAAUGUUAUCACGGGAGACACACGGCGGGUGCUAACGUCCGUCGUGAAGAGGGAAACAACCCAGACCGCCAGCUAAGGUCCCAAAGUCAUGGUUAAGUGGGAAACGAUGUGGGAAGGCCCAGACAGCCAGGAUGUUGGCUUAGAAGCAGCCAUCAUUUAAAGAAAGCGUAAUAGCUCACUGGUCGAGUCGGCCUGCGCGGAAGAUGUAACGGGGCUAAACCAUGCACCGAAGCUGCGGCAGCGACACUGUGUGUUGUUGGGUAGGGGAGCGUUCUGUAAGCCUGUGAAGGUGGCCUGUGAGGGUUGCUGGAGGUAUCAGAAGUGCGAAUGCUGACAUAAGUAACGAUAAAGCGGGUGAAAAGCCCGCUCGCCGGAAGACCAAGGGUUCCUGUCCAACGUUAAUCGGGGCAGGGUGAGUCGACCCCUAAGGCGAGGCCGAAAGGCGUAGUCGAUGGGAAACGGGUUAAUAUUCCCGUACUUGGUGUUACUGCGAAGGGGGGACGGAGAAGGCUAUGUUGGCCGGGCGACGGUUGUCCCGGUUUAAGCGUGUAGGUGUGUGUUCCAGGUAAAUCCGGUUCACUUUAACACUGAGGCGUGACGACGAGGCACUACGGUGCUGAAGCAACAAAUGCCCUGCUUCCAGGAAAAGCCUCUAAGCAUCAGGUAACAUCAAAUCGUACCCCAAACCGACACAGGUGGUCAGGUAGAGAAUACCAAGGCGCUUGAGAGAACUCGGGUGAAGGAACUAGGCAAAAUGGUGCCGUAACUUCGGGAGAAGGCACGCUGACACGUAGGUGAAGUGAUUUACUCACGGAGCUGAAGUCAGUCGAAGAUACCAGCUGGCUGCAACUGUUUAUUAAAAACACAGCACUGUGCAAACACGAAAGUGGACGUAUACGGUGUGACGCCUGCCCGGUGCCGGAAGGUUAAUUGAUGGGGUCAGCGCAAGCGAAGCUCCUGAUCGAAGCCCCGGUAAACGGCGGCCGUAACUAUAACGGUCCUAAGGUAGCGAAAUUCCUUGUCGGGUAAGUUCCGACCUGCACGAAUGGCGUAAUGAUGGCCAGGCUGUCUCCACCCGAGACUCAGUGAAAUUGAACUCGCUGUGAAGAUGCAGUGUACCCGCGGCAAGACGGAAAGACCCCGUGAACCUUUACUAUAGCUUGACACUGAACAUUGAGCCUUGAUGUGUAGGAUAGGUGGGAGGCUUUGAAGUGUGGACGCCAGUCUGCAUGGAGCCGACCUUGAAAUACCACCCUUUAAUGUUUGAUGUUCUAACGUGGACCCGUAAUCCGGGUUGCGGACAGUGUCUGGUGGGUAGUUUGACUGGGGCGGUCUCCUCCUAAAGAGUAACGGAGGAGCACGAAGGUUGGCUAAUCCUGGUCGGACAUCAGGAGGUUAGUGCAAUGGCAUAAGCCAGCUUGACUGCGAGCGUGACGGCGCGAGCAGGUGCGAAAGCAGGUCAUAGUGAUCCGGUGGUUCUGAAUGGAAGGGCCAUCGCUCAACGGAUAAAAGGUACUCCGGGGAUAACAGGCUGAUACCGCCCAAGAGUUCAUAUCGACGGCGGUGUUUGGCACCUCGAUGUCGGCUCAUCACAUCCUGGGGCUGAAGUAGGUCCCAAGGGUAUGGCUGUUCGCCAUUUAAAGUGGUACGCGAGCUGGGUUUAGAACGUCGUGAGACAGUUCGGUCCCUAUCUGCCGUGGGCGCUGGAGAACUGAGGGGGGCUGCUCCUAGUACGAGAGGACCGGAGUGGACGCAUCACUGGUGUUCGGGUUGUCAUGCCAAUGGCACUGCCCGGUAGCUAAAUGCGGAAGAGAUAAGUGCUGAAAGCAUCUAAGCACGAAACUUGCCCCGAGAUGAGUUCUCCCUGAGACUUAGAGUCUCCUGAAGGAACGUUGAAGACGACGACGUUGAUAGGCCGGGUGUGUAAGCGCAGCGAUGCGUUGAGCUAACCGGUACUAAUGAACCGUGAGGCUUAACCUU